rnacentral:rRNA from 1 species
CCUACGGGAGGCUGCAGUGAGGAAUAUUGGUCAAUGGGCGCGAGCCUGAACCAGCCAAGUCGCGUGAGGGAGGACGGCCCUACGGGUUGUAAACCUCUUUUGCCGGGGAGCAACGGGCGUCACGUGUGGCGCCACUGAGAGUACCCGGAGAAAAAGCAUCGGCUAACUCCGUGCCAGCAGCCGCGGUAAUACGGGGGAUGCGAGCGUUAUCCGGCUUUAUUGGGUUUAAAGGGUGCGUGGGCGGAUCGUUAAGCCAGUGGUAAAAUUGAGGGGCUAAACCCCUUCCCGCCAUUGAAACUGGCGCUCUUGAGUGGAAGAGAGGUAUGCGGAAUGCGUGGUGUAGCGGUGAAAUGCAUAGAGAUCACGCAGAACCCCGAUUGCGAAGGCAGCAUGCUGGCUUCCGACUGACGCUGAAGCACGAAAGCGUGGGGAUCGAACAGGAUUAGAUACCCCGGUAGUC